rnacentral:rRNA from 1 species
AGUCGUAACAAGGGAUGCGGAGAAAUUGGUGCUAGACCUGCACAGAAGCGGGGGAUAACACCUGGAAACAGAUGCUAAUACCGCAUAACAACUUGGACCGCAUGGUCCGAGUUUGAAAGAUGGCUUCGGCUAUCACUUUUGGAUGGUCCCGCGGCGUAUUAGCUAGAUGGUGGGGUAACGGCUCACCAUGGCAAUGAUACGUAGCCGACCUGAGAGGGUAAUCGGCCACAUUGGGACUGAGACACGGCCCAAACUCCUACGGGAGGCAGCAGUAGGGAAUCUUCCACAAUGGACGAAAGUCUGAUGGAGCAACGCCGCGUGAGUGAAGAAGGGUUUCGGCUCGUAAAACUCUGUUGUUAAAGAAGAACAUAUCUGAGAGUAACUGUUCAGGUAUUGACGGUAUUUAACCAGAAAGCCACGGCUAACUACGUGCCAGCAGCCGCGGUAAUACGUAGGUGGCAAGCGUUGUCCGGAUUUAUUGGGCGUAAAGCGAGCGCAGGCGGUUUUUUAAGUCUGAUGUGAAAGCCUUCGGCUCAACCGAAGAAGUGCAUCGGAAACUGGGAAACUUGAGUGCAGAAGAGGACAGUGGAA